rnacentral:lncRNA from 1 species
AUCCGGAUCUAGGCUCGGAUCCGGAGUCGAAUUUGGCGCGGGUCAAGUCCCAGAAGACUUGGAUAUUGGGGGUGACGAAUCUGGAUCCGCGUUUUCUCCAGAAAGCCAAUGUGUUUAAGUUGAGGUGGAAGGAGACGGCGGAGGAGAGAGAGAGAUCGGCGGAGGAGAAAGAGAGAGGGGAAGAGUGGUUGUAGUAAUCUUGAGAGUGGAGGAAGAGAUUCAGAGAGUGGCCGCCUAAGAAAGUUCGAGACCAUGUGAGAUAGAAGACGCCGUGAUCUGUUUGGUAGAGACAGGUUGUGAGAUUCGGGUCGCCUGAGACUAAAGGAG